GACGAACCGUGCGAACGUUGUUCGGAAUCACUGGGCGUAAAGGGUGCGUAGGCGGGUUUUUAAGUCAGGGGUGAAAUCCUGGAGCUCAACUCCAGAACUGCCUUUGAUACUGAAGAUCUUGAGUCCGGGAGAGGUGAGUGGAACUGCGAGUGUAGAGGUGAAAUUCGUAGAUAUUCGCAAGAACACCAGUGGCGAAGGCGGCUCACUGGCCCGGUACUGACGCUGAGGCACGAAAGCGUGGGGAGCAAACAGG
rnacentral:rRNA from 1 species